CGCGGCUACCCUCUGCAGGCCCGGCCCGCACAACAGAGGCUGUAUGCGAGAGGAAUGGAAAUGAGCCUCAGGCCCUGCCGAAGGAGCCCCAUCCCCUUCCCCGCGCGGGGCUGAGGAAUGCUGGCCAGCCGGAAAGGAACCCUCGCUGGGAACGCCGCUCUCGCGCCUCUGAAACCCCAUUGAGAAGAACCCUUUGAUGCAAUUAAAGCGCAUUUCAUUGCAGGCCUGGGAGGAGGGAACGACCGGCAAGCUUUUUUCUGUCUCGGACGUGUGUAUGCACCUUUGUGGGCCGGGUUACUUAGAGACCAGGCGGGAACUUGAGCUCCCUCUCUCGCAGACGUUCUGUAACAUCAGAAAAGCGUACCCAUAAACAGAUUGGUUUUCACCAGGGGUGGAACUCAAUUUGGACACGAUCCAGGCUGACCUGCAGGCCGGGGUUCCUACUUUGAAAGGCUCUUUGGUGCGCCUUACACCCACCUUCCCUGCUGUAAAGGUUUAGGCGGAAAAGAAAUUGCGUUUGCAGGAGGAAGUUGUUUCUGAGGUUACUGCUCAGCAUUUUCCAUUUUCUCAGUGGUGGGGUGGGCCGUGUCGCAUAUCCAGAAGUGAUGUCACAGCCAGACCUGCAAAAUGAUGUAACCUGCAAGUGUUGAAGGACGACGAUGGGACAGCUAUUUUGAUACUCGUAUUAUUUUAUAACAUUUCCCUGCUUUUUCCAUUGAGACAACUGUGUGACCUCAGAAAAUCCACAUAGCCUCUCUGAACUUAGUAUUUUUGUGUGUGUGUUAAAAUGAGUAUCACAAAGCCGGAGAACGAAUGUGAUGAAGUUCUGGGUGCUUGUGGAAUUCUUUCUAAGUUGGAGGUGGACACUUUAUCUACCUGCACAGGUGGAAGAUAUGUGGGUCUGGAACUCCGGUAAACAAAAAGAUCCUAUUGGGACCUCUA
rnacentral:lncRNA from 10 species